UACGAAGGGGGCUAGCGCUGUUCGGAAUUACUGGGCGUAAAGCGCACGCAGGCGGUUCGCCAAGUUUGGAGUGACAGUUGUCGGCUCAACCGACAAAGGACUUCAAAAACUGGUGAACUUGAGGACGAGAGAGGAACAUGGAACUCCAGGUGUAGUAGUGAAAUGCGUAGAUAUCUGGAAGAACACCAAUGGCGAAGGCAAUGUUCUGGCUCGUUUCUGACGCUCAGGUGCGAAAGCCAGGGGAGCGAACGGG
rnacentral:rRNA from 1 species